GGGGCCGGGGAUGCUUACACAUGCAGUCGAUUCAAGUUACCUUCGGGUAAUGAGGGUGGCGGACGGGUGAGUAACGCGUAAGGAACUUGCCUCUUGGACUGGGACAACUGUUGGAAACGACAGCUAAUACCGGAUAUUAUGAGAUUCUCGCAUGAGAAACUUAUGAAAGCUAUAUGCGCCAAGAGAGAGCCUUGCGUUCCAUUAGCUAGUUGGUGGGGUAACGGCCCACCAAGGCGACGAUGGAUAGCCGGCCUGAGAGGGUGAACGGCCACAAGGGGACUGAGACACGGCCCUUACUCCUACGGGAGGCAGCAGUGGGGAAUAUUGGACAAUGGGCCACAAGCCUGAUCCAGCAAUUCUGUGUGCACGAUGAAGGUCUUCGGAUUGUAAAGUGCUUUCAGUUGGGAAGAAGAAAGUGACGGUACCAACAGAAGAAGCGACGGCUAAAUACGUGCCAGCAGCCGCGGUAAUACGUAUGUCGCAAGCGUUAUCCGGAUUUAUUGGGCGUAAAGCGCGUCUAGGCGGAAAAAUAAGUCUGAUGUUAAAAUGCGGGGCUCAACUCCGUAUUGCGUUGGAAACUGUUUUUCUAGAGUACUGGAGAGGUGGGCGGAACUACAAGUGUAGAGGUGAAAUUCGUAGAUAUUUGUAGGAAUGCCGAUGGAGAAGUCAGCUCACUGGACGGAUACUGACGCUGAAGCGCGAAAGCGUGGGGAGCGAACAGGAUUAGAUACCCUGGUAGUCCACGCCGUAAACGAUGAUCACUAGGUGUUGGGGGUCGAACCUCAGCGCCCAAGCUAACGCGAUAAGUGAUCCGCCUGGGGAGUACGCACGCAAGUGUGAAACUCAAAGGAAUUGACGGGGACCCGCACAAGCGGUGGAGCAUGUGGUUUAAUUCGACGCAACGCGAGAAACCUUACCAGCGUUUGACAUCCUAAGAAGUUUCCAGAGAUGGAUUCGUGCCGGCUUGCCGGAACUUAAUGACAGGUGGUGCAUGGCUGUCGUCAGCUCGUGUCCUGAAAUGUUGGGGUUAAAUCCCGCAACGAACGCAACCCCUACUGGGAUGUUGGUUCCCUUUAAG
rnacentral:rRNA from 1 species